rnacentral:rRNA from 1 species
AUGCAAGUCGAACGGCAGCACAGGAGAGCUUGCUCUCUGGGUGGCGAGUGGCGGACGGGUGAGGAAUGCAUCGGAAUCUACUCUUUCGUGGGGGAUAACGUAGGGAAACUUACGCUAAUACCGCAUACGACCUACGGGUGAAAGCCGGGGACCUUCGGGCCUGGCGCGAAUGAAUGAGCCGAUGCCCGAUUAGCUAGUUGGCGGGGUAAGAGCCCACCAAGGCGACGAUCGGUAGCUGGUCUGAGAGGAUGAUCAGCCACACUGGAACUGANACACGGUCCAGACUCCUACGGGAGGCAGCAGUGGGGAAUAUUGGACAAUGGGCGCAAGCCUGAUCCAGCCAUACCGCGUGGGUGAAGAAGGCCUUCGGGUUGUAAAGCCCUUUUGUUGGGAAAGAAAAGCA